rnacentral:rRNA from 1 species
UACGUAGGGAGCGAGCGUUGUCCGGAUUCAUUGGGCGUAAAGAGCUCGUAGGCGGCUUGGUAAGUCGGAUGUGAAACCUCCAGGCUCAACCUGGAGUCGCCAUCCGAUACUGCCAUGGCUAGAGUCCGGUAGGGGCCCACGGAAUUCCUGGUGUAGCGGUGAAAUGCGCAGAUAUCAGGAGGAACACCGAUGGCGAAGGCGGGUCUCUGGGCCGAUACUGACGCUGAGGAGCGAAAGCGUGGGGAGCGAACAGG